GGCAGGAACGAGGCCCUCCAAGAAUCCUGUGGUACGACAAUGCAUUUGCAACACAUCUGCCGCUGCCUUGUCAGUUUUCAAGGUGUACUUUCUUCACUUUUUUUUCCCACAAUAGCUACAAAGGCUUUUCUACAGUGAGAAAGAAAAGUACUUCUGGGCUCUGAACAAGCUUUUGUGCCUUGGAAAUUCAACAGUUUUAUAGCCGUCUGAAAAAAUUCCUCGUUGCUAUGGCAAUACCAUUCUUUCACAACAAAUCCUUCUUGAAGGAUAUCAGAUUCAUUUAGGGUUGCAGCCACCUACUGUCACUGCUCUGCUCAUACCAUGUUAUAUCACAAGGCAGUCUGGAAAGAGACUUUCCCAUCAGUGACUGACUGCAGGAGUCAAAGAGGCGGUGUUCAAUGCAACUUGUGUGUUUAAGUUUUUCUAAUGAUG